GUGCGGUUAUAUCACGUCGAAACACCCGUUCUCAAUAGAUCAACGAACUUAAGCAACGUCGAGCAGGGUCAGUAACUAGAUGGGUGACCGCUUAUGAAUACCAGGUGCCAU